rnacentral:rRNA from 1 species
CCUACGGGAGGCAGCAGUGAGGAAUAUUGGUCAAUGGACGAGAGUCUGAACCAGCCAUGUAGCGUGAAGGAUGACUGCCCUAGGGGUUGUAAACUUCUUUUAUAUGGGAAUAAAACGUUCCACGUGUGGGCUUUUGUAUGUACCAUAUGAAUAAGGAUCGGCUAACUACGUUCCAGCAGCCGCGGUAAUACGGAGGAUCCGAGCGUUAUCCGGAUUUAAUGGGUGUAAAGGGAGCGUAGGUGGAUUGUUAAGUCAGUUGUGAAAGUUUGCGGCUCAACCGUAGAAUUGCAGUUGAAACUGGCAGUCUUGAGUACAGUAGAGGUGGGUGGAAUUCGAGGUGUAGCGGUGAAAUGCGUAGAUAUCACGAAGAACUCCGAUGGCGGAGGCAGUCCACUGGACUGCAACUGACACUGAGGCUCGAAAGUGUGGGUAUCAAACAGGAUUAGAUACCCUUGUAGUC